CAGCAGCCGCGGGAAUACGGAGGGAGCUAGCGUUGUUCGGAAUUACUGGGCGUAAAGCGCACGUAGGCGGCUUGGUAAGUUAGAGGUGAAAGCCCGGAGCUCAACUCCGGAAUUGCCUUUAAGACUGCCGAGCUAGUAGGUGAGAGAGGUAAGUGGAAUUCCGAGUGUAGAGGUGAAAUUCGUAGAUAUUCGGAAGAACACCAGUGGCGAAGGCGGCUUACUGGCUCAUUCUAGACGCUGAGGUGCGAAAGCGUGGGGAGCAAACAGGAUUAGAUACCCCCGUAGUCCCUGUCUCUUAUAC
rnacentral:rRNA from 1 species